rnacentral:pre_miRNA from 15 species
AUCGAUUUUUAUAUAAAGUUCUAGUCGAUUUGUCUUUUUCCGCUUACUGACGUUUUAUUGAACAACGGCAGGGAAGGGAAAAAGGCGUAUUUACUAUGAAUUAUUUCAACGAUAUAAAA